rnacentral:rRNA from 1 species
GGACCCGCACAAGCAGUGGAGCAUGUGGUUUAAUUCGAAGAUACGCGCAGAACCUUACCAACACUUGACAUGUUCGUCGCGAGACCAAGAGAUUGGUUUCUUCAUUUAGUUGGACGAAACACAGGUGCUGCAUGGCUGUCGUCAGCUCGUGUCGUGAGAUGUUGGGUUAAGUCCCGCAACGAGCGCAACCCCCUACCUUUAGUUGCCACCAUUUAGUUGGGUACUCUAGAGGGACUGCCAGUGAUAAGCUGGAGGAAGGCGGGGAUGACGUCAAGUCCUCAUGGCCCUUACGUGUUGGGCUACACACGUGCUACAAUGAUACUUACAAUGGGAAGCAAAGAGGCGACUCAGAGCUAAUCCCUAAAAAUGUAUCUCAGUUCGGAUUGCACUCUGUAACUCGAGUGCAUGAAGCUGGAAUUGCUAGUAAUCGC